rnacentral:rRNA from 1 species
UGGGUCCGCGUUUCAUUAGCUUGUUGGUAGGGUAAUGGCCUCCAAGGCGAUGAUGGUUAGCUGGUCUGAGAGGAUGAUCAGCCACACUGGAACUGAGACGCGGUCCAGACUCCUACGGGAGGCAGCAGUGAGGAAUAUUGCGCAAUGGGGGAAACCCUGACGCAGCGACGCCGCGUGGGUGAAGAAGGCCUUCGGGUUGUAAAGCUCUGUCAGGUGGGAAGAAAUGUGUGGUGGCUAAUACCUGCCAUGCUUGACGGUACCGCCAGAGGAAGCACCGGCCAACUCCGUGCCAGCAGCCGCGGUAAUACGGGGGGUGCAAGCGUUGUUCGGAAUUAUUGGGCGUAAAGAGCGUGUAGGCGGCUAGGUAAGUCAGAUGUGAAAGCCCUGAGCUCAACUCAGGAAGUGCAUUUGAAACUGUCUGGCUAGAGUAAGGGAGAGGAAAGUGGAAUUCCUGGUGUAGAGGUGAAAUUCCUAGAUAUUAGGAGGAACACCAUCGGCGAAGGUGACUUUCUGGCCUG